ACCAGACUCCUACGGGAGGCAGCAGUGGGGAAUAUUGGGCAAUGGGCGCAAGCCUGACCCAGCAACGCCGCGUGAAGGAAGAAGGCUCUCGGGUUGUAAACUUCUUUUAUCAGGGACGAAGCAAGUGACGGUACCUGAUGAAUAAGCCACGGCUAACUACGUGCCAGCAGCCGCGGUAAUACGUAGGUGGCAAGCGUUAUCCGGAUUUACUGGGUGUAAAGGGAGCGCAGGCGGCACGGCAAGCCUGAUGUGAAAGCCCGCGGCCCAACCGCGGGACUGCAUUGGGAACUGCCGGGCUAGAGUGCAGGAGGGGCAGGCGGAAUUCCUAGUGUAGCGGUGAAAUGCGUAGAUAUUAGGAGGAACACCAGUGGCGAAGGCGGCCUGCUGGACUGCAACUGACGUUGAGGCUCGAAGGCGUGGGGAGCAAACAGGAUUAGAUACCCUCGUAC
rnacentral:rRNA from 1 species